GUGCUUGCUUCAGCAGCACAUAUACUAAAAUUGUGAAUGACACAGAGAAGAUUAGUAUGGUCCUUGAGCAAGGAUGACAUGCAAAUUUGUGAAGUGCUCCAUCAUCAG
rnacentral:snRNA from 1 species